AGUGAACGCUGGCGGUAGGCCUGACACAUGCAAGUCGAACGGCAGCACAGUAAGAGCUUGCUCUUACGGGUGGCGAGUGGCGGACGGGUGAGGAAUACAUCGGAAUCUACUUUUUCGUGGGGGAUAACGUAGGGAAACUUACGCUAAUACCGCAUACGACCUACGGGUGAAAGCAGGGGAUCUUCGGACCUUGCGCGAUUGAAUGAGCCGAUGUCGGAUUAGCUAGUUGGCGGGGUAAAGGCCCACCAAGGCGACGAUCCGUAGCUGGUCUGAGAGGAUGAUCAGCAACACUGGAACUGAGACACGGUCCAGACUCCUACGGGAGGCAGCAGUGGGGAAUAUUGGACAAUGGGCGCAAGCCUGAUCCAGCCAUACCGCGUGGGUGAAGAAGGCCUUCGGGUUGUAAAGCCCUUUUGUUGGGAAAGAAAAGCAGCAGGUUAAUACCCCGCUGUUCUGACGGUACCCAAAGAAUAAGCACCGGCUAACUUCGUG
rnacentral:rRNA from 1 species